AGCGAACGUUUGCGGCGGGCUUAACACAUGCAAGUCGAACGAGAAUCCCUUCGGGGAGGAAAGUGGCGCACGGGUGCGUAACACGUGGAUAACCAACCCAUUGGUUUGGGACAACACCGGGAAACUGGUGCUAAUACCAGAUGUGUCGCAGCUGUCUUCAGGCGGUUGCGAGAAAGGCCCGCAAGGGUCGCCAACGGACGGGUCCGCGUCCCAUCAGCUAGUUGGUGAGGUAAUGGCUCACCAAGGCAAAGACGGGUAGCUGGUCUGAGAGGAUGAUCAGCCACACUGGAACUGAGACACGGUCCAGACUCCUACGGGAGGCAGCAGUGGGGAAUAUUGCGCAAUGGGCGAAAGCCUGACGCAGCCACGCCGCGUGAGCGAUGAAGGUCUUCGGAUCGUAAAGCUCUGUGGGGGAGAAGAAGAAAGACGGUCGAAGAGCCGGCCCGUCGACGGUA
rnacentral:rRNA from 1 species